UACGUAGGGUGCAAGCGUUGUCCGGAAUUAUUGGGCGUAAAGAGCUCGUAGGCGGUCUGUUACGUCGGCUGUGAAAACCUGGGGCUCAACCCCGGGCCUGCAGCCGAUACGGGCAGACUAGAGUUCGGCAGGGGAGACUGGAAUUCCUGGUGUAGCGGUGAAAUGCGCAGAUAUCAGGAGGAACACCGGUGGCGAAGGCGGAUCUCUGGGCCUUACCUGACGCUGAGGAGCGAAAGCAUGGGGAGCAAACAGG
rnacentral:rRNA from 1 species